CUGGAGUCUCAUGGUUUUAUGCAGACACUGACCUUCGACCCAACCCUCCUGGCAGCGGAGCAGGGAAAGUUUGAAAUUCGGGUGCAAGGCCACAGGAAACGUAUCCCGUUAGUGUCAACACGAGAAAAUCUGUCAAGAGUAUUACUAUAAUUCGAUUGCCUGCCUUACGUGGCAGACAAAGGAAUUGGGAAAAACAGCUAAUACCUAACUCGCUGCUCAACGUCAUUAUUAUUCUGUCUGACAUGCGCGAGGCACCAAAACCAAAAUGAGCGGACGACGAUGGCGCGAUUCGAUUCGCCUCGACGGAAGCCGAUUGCAUGAGUCAGACUUGGAAACAGAGUGCGGAGUGCGGGAUGCUAAACAAUGCCUGCUACCGAGUCGAGCAACACCAAAACCGACAAUGGAACCGAGUACCAUGGAUGGAGGCCAUAGCACCAGCCUGUCACAGAUGAGAAGAUCCGCAUCCGUGUCUGAUCCAGCCUCCGAUGCAGCAUCCAGAAUGAUGCAGCCAGCUUUUUCUACGGGUGGUUGUCCAGCAUCCACCUUCGUCUCUUCUGACUGACCGUUGGAAUCCUUCUUGGCGGACGUUCGCGACCGGAGAAAACGAGAUGAAACGAGAUGAGAAAACGGGAUGGAACGGUCAUCAUCACACGUUUAUGGAACGCACCAGGAAAUAACGUCUGGGUGAGAAUUCUUCGAGAAAGUGCAGUUCCUGCCCACGCGGCUUUCUAACACACACUAGUACCGAUCCAUUGAUUUAUCCAUGACGCAACGAUGCUCAGUGGAAAUUCUUUUGCAGGAUCAUCAUUCAGUAUAUACGUAGUCAACGAUGUUCCAGAUCGAGCAUAUAAGACCCCAUGAUGUUUUUCACGUUUUCCACAGCGCGAGUCACCGGCAAGUUAAUUGAUUAUCUAAUAAUUAUCGCAAGCACGUAUUGCCCCCUGCAGGGUUGGAAUACCGAUACGAUACGAAGAAUGGAUAACAAAUGCCGCGUCUGAGAUACUGUUUGCGAAACGUUACGUAACUUACGUCGAAUUCUGACGCAGUUACGUUUCCACGUUACCGAUGGAAUUGG